GCAGCUUCAACUUAUAAUACGUGACAAAAAUGUUUGACAGCAUGCUGUGAUGAAUAUAAGGGAUGCUCUCGAAUUGAAUCUCGCUGUCCACCUUGGGGUCUUUACCAGCUCCAAGAUAUAGCAAAGUGACUUCAUAUUGCCUGAAUUAUGUUCCAAAGGACUAUCACAUAUGCCACAGAUGUCCAUCACUCUACUAUGCCCUCUUGAUCAUUUUCUGGUUGUUCCUGAUGAAUGGAAACGAUAGUUUGGUUAAUUUUCAAUGUGAAUUAUGAGCAUAUAUUAGGGAAAGAAUGGAUAGACAAAGCAUUUGACUUUCGGCUCAAACCAAUUGAGCGACCUUUGAGGUUUGCUCUGCUUCCACAAUCACGAAUUAGGCCAAAGAUGUCAGGACUUAAGGCAGAAGAUUUACUUUGAGCUAAUCAGAGAUUUGUUUGAAGGAACACUAAAUAUUUAAUACAAUACAAGCCUUUAAUUUAUCAGUAUUUAGUCGGUAUAUGCUUGCCUUCAUGUACUAAAUGUUCGAUAUGCAAAUUCAUGGUCUCGACCAAGGAGUUUAUCUUGUCCUGUGAACUGCUGCUCUUAUUCUGGUAAAAAAUGCAAGUAAGAAGUUAAUAC